GACGAACGCUGGCGGCGUGCUUAACACAUGCAAGUCGAACGGAAAGGCCCUGCUUUUGUGGGGUGCUCGAUUGGCGAACGGGUGAGUAACACGUGAGUAACCUGCCCUUGACUUUGGGAUAACUUCAGGAAACUGGGGCUAAUACCGGAUAGGAUCUCCUGCUGCAUGGUGGGGGUUGGAAAGUUUCGGCGGUUGGGGAUGGACUCGCGGCUUAUCAGCUUGUUGGUGGGGUAGUGGCUUACCAAGGCUUUGACGGGUAGGCGGCCUGAGAGGGUGACCGGCCACAUUGGGACUGAGAUACGGCCCAGACUGCUACGGGAGGCAGCAGUGGGGAAUAUUGCACAAUGGGCGGAAGCCUGAUGCAGCAACGCCGCGUGCGGGAUGACGGCCUUCGGGUUGUAAACCGCUUUCGCCUGUGACGAAGCGUGAGUGACGGUAAUGGGUAAAGAAGCACCGGCUAACUACGUG
rnacentral:rRNA from 1 species